rnacentral:snRNA from 1 species
UCCUAAAAGAAAAAAAUAAAAAUUGGAAAGAUACAGAGAAGAUUAGCAUGGCCCCUGCUUAAGGAUGAUAUGCAAAUUCGUGAAGUACUCCGUAUUUUU